AUUGAACGCUGGCGGCAUGCCUAACACAUGCAAGUCGAACGGUAGCAGCAGAGAGCUUGCUCUUUGGCUGACGAGUGGCGGACGGGUGAGUAAGACAUCGGGACCUGCCCAGAUGUGGGGGAUAACCCGGGGAAACCCGGACUAAUACCGCAUACGCCCUACGGGGGAAAGCGGGGGAUCUCUUCGGAGACCUCGCGCGUUUGGAUGGACCGAUGUACGAUUAGCUUGUUGGUGGGGUAACGGCCUACCAAGGCGACGAUCGUUAGCUGGUCUGAGAGGAUGAUCAGCCACACCGGGACUGAGACACGGCCCGGACUCCUACGGGAGGCAGCAGUGGGGAAUAUUGGACAAUGGGCGAAAGCCUGAUCCAGCAAUGCCGCGUGUGUGAAGAAGGCCUUCGGGUUGUAAAGCACUUUUAUCAGGAACGAAAUCUGCAUGCUUAAUACGUGUGUAGUCUGACGGUACCUGAGGAAUAAGCACCGGCUAACUCCGUGCCAGCAGCCGCGGUAAUACGGAGGGUGCAAGCGUUAAUCGGAAUUACUGGGCGUAAAGGGUGCGUAGGUGGUGAGUUAAGUCUGAUGUGAAAGCCCCGGGCUCAACCUGGGAAUGGCAUUGGAAACUGGCUCGCUGGAGUGUGAUAGAGGAUGGCGGAAUUCCCGGUGUAGCGGUGAAAUGCGUAGAGAUCGGGAGGAACAUCAGUGGCGAAGGCGGCCAUCUGGAUCAACACUGACACUGAGGCACGAAAGCGUGGGGAGCAAACAGG
rnacentral:rRNA from 1 species